CAAUAUCGUAUUAUCCAUUUGUAAUGAAUGAUAGUAACACUAAAUCGGAUUGGAUUCAGUUAAAUCUACAUUUCUCAAGGUCUCUAACAUCGAGAUUUGAAAUAUCUUUCAUGUAAAUACCUUCUUUGUCAUGUGACUUGUAUAUAUUCGUGUAUAUUCAGAAUCGUACCUACGCACAAUGUCUUUGCACAAUGGCACAAGCAACGUGGUCUCUUUCUGUAAAACAUAGCACUCUUUAUUUCAGCCACAGCAAAGAUCCCGAACCACGUGCAGUCAGCAGAGUUACAGCGUCUGGUUACCGUCUUGCAGUUACGAUACAGAAUAUGUGCACAUAGCUUUCAAUGACUAGACGAAAAAAAGAAUUCAUUUCAAGUAUGUUGAGAAGAAAACGACCCAUCUCUGAAAAAAUCACCUCACCCAAGAAAAUACGACUCAUUCAUGAGAAUGAAAAGUGCAAAGUCUCCCAAGGAAUUGUCUUGUAAUAUAGCAUGUGAAUAAAUAAUUUUUUGAAAUA